rnacentral:misc_RNA from 1 species
CAUUGACUGGAGCUUUGAUUGGCCAGGAGACGGAGAGUGGAUUUGUCAGAGGUGCUGCAGUUGGUGCCAUCUCUGGUGCUGUUUUCUCUCUCGAAGUCUUUGAGUCAUCUCUGUUACUAUGGCAGUCGGAUGAAUCUGGAAUAACAUGUCUUGUUUACUUGAUUGAUGUACUCACAAGCCUGUUAAGUGGUCGAUUGGUUCGUGAGAGGAUUGGCCCAGCAAUGCUAAGUGCAGUCCAGAGUCAGAUGGGAGCUGUUGAACUUGCAUAUGACGAGGUCCCUAACAUUUUUGAUACGGGUGUGGCUAAAGGCUUGCAUGGAGAUUCGGUUGAAAAGAUCCCCAAGAUUGUAAUCACAAAAGGUAACAACUUGGAUGGUUCUGGAGAGAGAGUCUCUUGUUCCGUCUGCCUUCAGGACUUUCAACUUGGAGAAACUGUUAGAUGUUUGCCACAAUGUCAUCACAUGUUUCACUUGCCAUGCAUCGACACAUGGCUGUUGAGACAUGGCUCUUGCCCAAUGUGCAGAAGGGAUCUGUAAUUGCUCCAUAAACUAUAACAAGGUUAAAUAAGUUCUUCAUACUUGCUUGUAUGGUUUCCUUAGUAGUCUUUCUUCACUUGCCCAAAUUUUCAAGGAAACCUGUGUAUUUAGUGGCAAGUAUGUGCUUUUUCGAGUUUGGUUGUUGUAGACUAUAACUUACCUGUAAAUUGAGCUAUAAUAG